UACAGAGGUCUCAAGCGUUGUUCGGAUUCAUUGGGCGUAAAGAGCGUGUAGGCGGCUAGGUAGGUCCGUUGUGAAAACUCGAGGCUCAACCUCGAGACGCCGGUGGAAACCAUCUAGCUAGAGUCCGGAAGAGGAGAGUGGAAUUCCUGGUGUAGCGGUGAAAUGCGCAGAUAUCGGGAAGAACACCCGUGGCGAAGGCGGUUCUCUGGGACGGUACUGACGCUGAGACGCGAAAGCGUGGGGAGCGAACAGG
rnacentral:rRNA from 1 species